AAUAAUGCAAGUCGAGCGAACAGAUAAGGAGCUUGCUCCUUUGACGUUAGCGGCGGACGGGUGAGUAACACGUGGAUAACCUACCUAUAAGACUGGGAUAACUUCGGGAAACCGGAGCUAAUACCGGAUAACAUAUUGAACCGCAUGGUUCAAUAGUGAGAGGCGGCUUUGCUGUCACUUAUAGAUGGAUCCGCGCCGUAUUAGCUAGUUGGUAAGGUAACGGCUUACCAAGGCAACGAUACGUAGCCGACCUGAGAGGGUGAUCGGCCACACUGGAACUGAGACACGGUCCAGACUCCUACGGGAGGCAGCAGUAGGGAAUCUUCCGCAAUGGGCGAAAGCCUGACGGAGCAACGCCGCGUGAGUGAUGAAGGUCUUCGGAUCGUAAAACUCUGUUAUCAGGGAAGAACAAAUGUGUAAGUAACUGUGCACAUCUUGACGGUACCUGAUCAGAAAGCCACGGCUAACUACGUGCCAGCAGCCGCGGUAAUACGUAGGUGGCAAGCGUUAUCCGGAAUUAUUGGGCGUAAAGCGCGCGUAGGCGGUUUUUUAAGUCUGAUGUGAAAGCCCAC
rnacentral:rRNA from 1 species